rnacentral:siRNA from 1 species
AUAAGCCUGGCUUAGGGUCCAAA